ACAUCUGGCGUAAAUUUGAUAGAACAAAUCAAUAUGUACCAACUGAAAAUCUGAUCACUGACUUUGAAUUAUCUAAUAGAUAGUUUUCUGAUAACUAAACAAAACUAUCAAAUCAAUAUUGUAUUGUAAAAUAUCAAUAAGCUUUUAAUUGUAAUAAUUAGUUAUAAGUUAUUGUAUAAAUAUAUCUAUUACUAUGUAUACAAACCCCAAAACAAACUGCCAUUGGACAUUUGGUCAUCUUUAAUAUGUCAGAAUACUGUCAUUACCACCGAGGACAUCAAUAUCAAUCAUCAUUAGCAAAUCUUCAAAAGAUUUCACUGAUAUAAAUGGGUUUAACGGCAAUUCCAGGAGAUUUUCCCCAACAACUCUCGAUGUUUAUCAGCUUCCAGACAAUUCAUCUAUAUUCACAUUCAGAAUUAUAUCAAAUCGCUUCGCAACGCGUCGCAUUCCUGGAAUUCCCGGUACCUCCGAUGUCGUCGCUGGUCCCAUGCCACAACGUUGCUUUGGAGUUGUUAUCAUAAGCAUCGCUGCCUGAAGACAAGGUGAAUUAAAGUCGACUUUGACUUCCUAUUGGGCUAUACUCGUACAUGACAAAGAAA